rfam:Candidatus Woesebacteria bacterium RIFCSPLOWO2_01_FTLL_39_10b rifcsplowo2_01_scaffold_803, whole genome shotgun sequence.
GGGGUUAUAGCUCAAUUGGUCAGAGCGCUUCCCUGUCACGGAAGAGGUUGGGAGUUCGAGUCUCCUUGACCCCG